CGCGGCCUAUCAGCUUGUUGGUGAGGUAAUGGCUCACCAAGGCGUCGACGGGUAGCCGGCCUGAGAGGGUGACCGGCCACACUGGGACUGAGACACGGCCCAGACUCCUACGGGAGGCAGCAGUGGGGAAUAUUGCACAAUGGGCGCAAGCCUGAUGCAGCAACGCCGCGUGAGGGAUGACGGCCUUCGGGUUGUAAACCUCUUUUAGCAGGGAAGAAGGCUUCGGUUGACGGUACCUGCAGAAAAAGCGCCGGCUAACUACGUGCCAGCAGCCGCGGUAAUACGUAGGGCGCAAGCGUUAUCCGGAAUUAUUGGGCGUAAAGAGCUCGUAGGCGGUUUGUCGCGUCUGCUGUGAAAACUGGAGGCUCAACCUCCAGCCUGCAGUGGGUACGGGCAGACUAGAGUGCGGUAGGGGAGAUUGGAAUUCCUGGUGUAGCGGUGGAAUGCGCAGAUAUCAGGAGGAACACCGAUGGCGAAGGCAGAUCUCUGGGCCGUUACUGACGCUGAGGAGCGAAAGGGUGGGGAGCAAACAGGCUUAGAUACCCUGGUGGUCCACCCCGUAAACGUUGGGAACUAGUUGUGGGGGCCUUUCCACGGUCUCUGUGACGCAGCUAACGCAUUAAGUUCCCCGCCUGGGGAGUACGG
rnacentral:rRNA from 1 species